AACGCUGUAUGUGCACCACAAAGCAAGUGCGCUUAAAUAGGGAGGAUGGGGCAGUUUGAGCUUCGGCCCCAGGCGGCUAAUUCCUUGUUAUUUUUACACUACAUCAUAUAAACGACAUGAAAUGUAACACCGUUGUAACUUAACACCGCUAAUACACCACAUAUCUGGUAUUAUUCUGUAUUUUUAUAUUUAGCUUUGUUUAUUAUUAUUAUUUCCUCUGUUCAUCUAUUUAAAACCACGGUUGUCGCUACAUAAUGUCGUGUAUUAUAGAGUUACAAAGGGGCGGAAAGUUUCGGUAAACUUACUGAAACUUUCAACGGGAACUUAAUCUGGUACUUAAUCUUAAUUUAUGGGAAUUAUUUGUAACUAUAGGGAAAUGUAUAUAAACUAUAUGAUAUAGAAACAUAAAUAAACAUGUUGUUUGGUCAUAAGCAGACAU